GCAUCUCCUGCUGCUACUGCUGAACCUUUCCUUGCUGUUGGGCUUCCUGCAAGGUAAGCUUUGGGGAUGUCUGGAAGGAUAG
rnacentral:miRNA from 1 species